rnacentral:lncRNA from 1 species
GAUUCUCUACUCAUCGAAGGGAUGUGAACUGAAGUUCCCUACGUAUACAACUGUUUGAGACAGCCCCACCCCCUCAGAACACCCCUCAGUCCUCUUCGUCUCCAACCUCAAGCCCUAGAGAACCCGCCGCCCUGAAAUUAUUAAGCCAUCUCCAGUGGUGGCGUGGCCUAAUCAACCCCAAAUUCCCCGUCCACAAUUCCAACACCCCAUGAAAUAUGAAUCCAUCACCACAUAUCCUCAAAUCCCUACCAAAUUUGGCCAAUUUUAGAUCUAAAAAAAGAAGAAAAAAAAGGAGAAAUUUUCCAAAUCUUCAAGUUUAUAUGAACGAUUGGGCCUGAAACUAGUAUUGUUAGUUUGUUCUCAAAGAGAACAUGCGGUUAGUACCAAUUUUGGGUCAAAUCGGAGGUUCCUGAGGUCUGUCAAGCCAAACGUCCGUUUACUUAUUUUAGGUAACUUUAUUCACUUCUUUUCUUGUCUUUGUUUUCUUCUCUUCUUUGUUCUCAUUAUUUUUUCUCUUUUUUGACUGAUUAAAAGAACUCAGAUACGGUAAUUUGUUGUUAAUUCUUGACAAUUUAGUCAAGUGAAUUGUAAUUAAUUUUGCUUUUUCCUUUCUUUUUCUGUUUGUCUUUAUUUUUCUAGAUUUUCGAGUUAGUAUUCAAGUUUUUUUCCACUAUUAGGUCUUAGUUUUGUAUGGGUUAGAAUUUGAAAUUCAAAUGUUCAAUUGUAUUGGGUUUGGUAACUUUGUUUGAUUGGGUUUUUUUGGGUCAUCUCUGGCCUAGUUUCAAGGGAAACCCGAUUGGUUUUUGGUUGUUUUUGGAUUAAUUUGACCCAUGUGUAAUAUACUCAAGGUAAAUAUAGCUGUUUUAAGGGUAGUUUAGGGAAAUAGGGCAGGGAAAUCUUUUAUAACUGCAUAAGGAAGCUUCUAGGAAAGUAGGGGAAGGGGUUGUUUAAUAUGCAGACUAUAAAAUGAAGGUCUAAGUUGAAAAGAUGAAAAUUGGGGAGGGUUAAUUGAUAAAUGUUAGAGUCAUUUUUUUUUCUAACCUAAUGCCCUCUAUAUAAGGUUGGUUUUCUUUAAAAUUGAGGAAGAGGAGAAAACUAAGAAAUCAGAAAACGGUUGAGAAAUUUAUUCUGAAAAUACAUUAAAUUUUUUGCAUCUUUUAGGGUGGAAAUUGGUUCUGAAUCUGCUCCCUAGUCUUGAGUGUCAACUGGAAUUAAAAAAGCUUGAAAGAACUCUUGUUUUAUCUCAGGAAAAAAUGCUUAAAGAGCUGAAAUUUCUGGAUUUUUGCAAGCUCUUUGAUUUGGUUUUACUGCCGAUCUCUGCUGCUAUACAUGUUAGCUUAAUGUUGCUUUAAGUUGAUUCUCAAAGCUUUUUGUUUAUCUUUGCUGUAACAUGUAUGUGCCGAUGAAUAUUUUAUUGUUACACAUGAAGCUUGGAUCACCUGUUGAUAUCAUGCCCAAACAUCAUGUGAAAUGUAGACUGAAAUAAGAUUCUGAUGUUUCUUUGGAUUUGUUAUGCUGCUUUUCUUUCUUCUUAUUAUAUUCUUCUUAACAUGUUAUACAUUAGCUCAAAUAUAUACACUAGUUGUCUUAUUUGGCAUGUUGGCUGUAUUCUGUGAAAUUUUAUCUGAAGUUCAGCUCCAUUGAAUAAGUUCCUUUCAAGCAUGAACUGAAGUCUAGUAGGCUGGAUAAUCCAUUUGUGUAUGUGGAAUUCGAUCAUGGGAUCUGAUUGGAAGUUCGGUAUAUUUUGAUGUUUUGAUCGCAUGAAGCUAUAAUUUGCUUGUCUAAUUUAGCUAUGAUGGUAUUGAAUCAUUAGUAUUCUAGAAGUAAUAAUUCAAGUUCAUUUCCUAGCUAUUUGAUUAGAGUAUGUUGAUGUAUGAACGGAUAUGCUAUAAAAAUAGUUAGGUUUUGUUGCUUUAACACAAAUCUGCACGAAUCAUGUAUUGAUUGAGGGUUUAUCUUCCCAAAAUUUUCACAGAUUAGAGUCAUGAUUUAGGUAAUUAUGUUCCAAUGUGAUAAACUGGUUUCUUUGGUUCCAUUCUAAAUGUUGUUUUGUUUUUGUAAUUAGUAUUGAUUUGGGCAUAUAAGGUGAUUCGGGCCAGGCUCAUGAAUGACCCAAAUAAGUUUAUGAAUAUGAAUUGAUCCCAAGAAUCUGAUUCUAAUAAGGUGUGUGGAUUUAAGUUGGUUCUUAUGUGAGCAAAAUGUAAUCGGCUUAUCAGAAAGUUUGGGUUCAUACUGAUUGGGCAUCUGCAAAAUUUACUUGAUUGAGGAUGUUUGAAUCACAAUCGCAAUUGGCUAUAAAUGUACAUUAAUUUUAUUGCAUGUCAGGGCUUUAAUAUUUCAGUGAUUCAAUUAGCUUAUCAGUUAACGAUUCAACAAAGAUUGUCACGCACAUGUUUAGUAAAAAUAAAAGGGAGAUUCAUCCUUGAAGAAUUAGAUUGAGGUGUCAUUUCAACAAAACACAUAAUUUAUGGCACUCUUAGAAUUAGAUCAGGAUUUCUUUGACAAAUAGACUUGAGGUAUGCCAUAAACAAAAUUAGAUAACCCAUGACCCUUGGAUAAUUAAUUUUAACUCUUUAGAAAUCGAGGUGUGCC